rnacentral:rRNA from 1 species
UUUGCGGAGAGUUUGAUCCUGGCUCAGGAUGAACGCUGGCGGCGUGCCUAACACAUGCAAGUCGAACGGACUCAAUUCUUAGGAUGAGAGUUAGUGGCGCACGGGUGAGUAACACGUAGGUGACCUACCCCAGAGCGGGGGACAACUUCUCGAAAGAGAAGCUAAUACCCCGUAUGUUCAACCAUUCGGUUGGUUGAGUAAAGCUCCGGCGCUCUGGGAGGGGCCUGCGUCCGAUUAGCUAGUUGGUGGGGUAAUGGCCUACCAAGGCGAUGAUCGGUAGCUGGUCUGAGAGGACGAU